CCCGGCUCAACUUCUCUCACAGUUUCCAAGUAUUUCCAAAAGGCUCUGAAAUAGUCAAAGAUCAUGGACUACUAUUUUCAGUAGAAAUGUUUAUUUGUGUUUUCUGGCAGAACAAGGCCAAGGCACCAACUUGUUUGCUUGUUUGUUUUUUUUUUAGAAAUUUAGGGCCAGGCGCGGUGGCUUAAGCCUGUAAUCCCAGCACUUUGGGAGGCCGAGGCGGGUGGAUCACGAGGUCAACAGAUCGAGACCAUCCUGGUCAACAUGGUGAAACCCCGUCUCUACUAAAAAUACAAAAAAUUAGCUGGGCAUGGUGGCAGGUGCCUGUAAUCCCAGCUACUCAGGAGGCUGAAGCAGGAGAAUUGCCUGAACCCAGGAGGCGGAGGUUGUGGUGAGCCGAGAUCGCGCCAUUGCACUCCAGCCUGGGUAACAAGAGCGAAACUCCGUCUCAAAAAGAAAAGAAAUUUAGCCUACUCAAUGUGAAGACUAUGAGAAUGAAGACCUUUUGAGAGCCACUCCCACUUAAAGAAUAGUUGAAAAAUAUCUGCUGUCGAUCUGAGUUUUGGUUAAUCCGGUCUGGCUUAUUCUGGAAGCCAUGGGAGUGGGUGCGUCUGACCUCUGCAAGAGAGAAACUGCCAACGAGGAUUGCAGUCAGCCUCCAUCCUCCAGCUGCAGCACCUUCAGGAUCCACUCCAACACUCAAGCUAAGAACACGAGAAUGAGCUUUCCUGAGCAGCUAUGGCCAAUGACAGAGGAUGCUAUGUGCAAGCAGCCUGAGGCCCUCACCAGAAGCCAAGCAGAUGCUGGGGUGCCAUGAUUCUUGUGGAAUUAUUUCUGGGACCCCAGACGCCAAGAUUGGCAGGACAAUUGAUGGGUGCUACCACUGCCUUCCUGUGGCCCAUUUCUUGAGGGAUGUGUUUGUCAACCAAGAAGGAAAUUUCUUCACCAGAUUUAUAGACAAGUGGUCCCUAGCAGCAUGGAAAGUAGUGAGAGCCAUAAAUCUUG
rnacentral:lncRNA from 13 species